rnacentral:rRNA from 1 species
UACGUAGGGGGCAAGCGUUGUCCGGAUUUAUUGGGCGUAAGGAGCGUGUAGGCGGCCGCACAGGUCCGUUGUGAAAACUGGAGGCUUAACCUUCAGACGUCGAUGGAAACCGUGCGGCUAGAGUCCGGAAGAGGCGAGUGGAAUUCCCGGUGUAGCGGUGAAAUGCGCAGAUAUCGGGAGGAACACCAAUGGCGAAGGCAGCUCGCUGGGACGGUACUGACGCUGAGACGCGAAAGCGUGGGGAGCAAACAGG